rnacentral:rRNA from 1 species
CAGUCGUACCGGCGGGUAAUCAGCCUUUUGGGUGUGAUUAUGUGGGGCGUGAGGAGUUAAUCACCCUCAUCUUUGCAUAUUCGUGCACUUUGGGUGUACUUGCUCGUGUGGUAGGUUAACAUCAAUUUUGAUUAUCAUAAAAUGAUUGGAGGAAUGUAGCUUCGAUCUCGUAUUGAAGUGUUAUAGCCUUUGGUAGAUGUGAUGAUCGGGAUUGAGGAUUGCAACGGAUACCCUUCGGGGCUACCUGUCUGAUCUCUGAAAGUUGCUCUGGUGCUGAAAGCUUGCUUAUGGUAUCAAAGUUGACGUUCAAUAGGUUAGAAUGGGAUAAA